GGGCACGCCCGCACGGCCGCACCGCACCACCAAGCGAACCCAUUGGCUGUCUCUCUCACGGCUCACUUCACUGUUCACUCGGCGGCACCGCACUGCGCCAGUGCCCCGUCGCCGAUCAAAGCAACCGCCUCCAACGCGGCAACGGCAACGGCAACGGCAAGCGCCGUCAGUCACUCCCGUAGUAGCCGCCCCGCAGUGAGUGUGUGAGCGAGUGAGAUGAUCAGCGGAGGGGCCGCGGCCGCCGGGAACCCGAGGAGUAGGAGGACGCGAUGAAGGCGCAGCCGCUGCUACUGCCGGCGCUCAAGAGGCGGAGAGGCCCUCGCGUGGCGGUGCUGGCGCUCGUCCUCUGCUCCCUGCUCGUGCCCUUGGCCUUCCUCUUCGACCGCGCCCCCUCCGGAUACGUGACGACGGAGGAGCGGCACCGACAGGAGGUCGUUCUGCCUUUGUUGGAUCACGUGGCGGAGAAGAGACGUCCGAGUGGUAGUGGCGCUGACACGCGACAGGAUGCGCUGGAGAAGAAGGUCCCCGGUAGUAGUGCAGGAGUCAUUCAUCAACAAACACCGGAUAAGAACAUCUCCAAAGUCAUUCGUCAACAAACACCGGAGAAGACCAUCUCCAAAGGCAGUGCAGGUGUCGUUCAUCAGUAUAAGCAAAUUGGUAGCCACUCCACAAGUGAUGGUGCUAAACCAAAAGUUUCCCCAGCACCAAAAGUUGAACCAUCAGAUGCUGUUUCAGAUUCAACUAAAGUCGCAAGAGAUACUAGCCAAGAAGGUGAAAAGGCUGAUGAAGUGGAAAAGUCAAAGUCUUGUCAACUUGAAUUUGGGAGUUAUUGUCUCUGGUCCAUUGAGCACAAAGAAGUAAUGAAAGAUUAUACAGUGAAAAGGCUAAAAGAUCAACUCUUCGUAGCACGCUCAUACUAUCCAAGCAUUGCAAAACUUCAAGGACAGGAAGCUCUGACUCAGGAAAUGAAGCAAAACAUACAAGACCAUGAGAAGAUUCUUAGUGUAUCAACAGUUGAUGCUGAUCUACCAUCCUCUAUCAACAGAAGGAUGAAGCAGAUGGAGCAAACAAUAGUGAGAGCCAAAUCUUGCACAGUAGAUUGUAGAAGUGUUGACAGGAAGCUUCGCCAGAUUCUUUAUAUGACUGAGGAUGAAGCUCAUUUUCAUAUGCAGCAGAGUGCAUUCCUCUACAAUCUCGGUGCCCAGACAUUGCCGAAAAGUCAUCAUUGCCUUUCUAUGAGGUUGACACUAGAAUAUUUCAAAUCAUCUUCAUUGGAUUCUGAUGAUUCUCCUGGCAGGUUCAGUAGUCCAGAAUACAGGCACUUCGUUAUACUAUCAAGGAACGUUCUUGCGGCUUCUGUAGCAAUCAACUCAACUGUGAGCAGUUGUAAGGAGCCAGGCUACUUUGCUUUUCAUAUCCUAACUGACGCUCAGAACUUCUAUGCCAUGAAACACUGGUUUGCCAGGAAUUCGUAUAAAAAUGCAGCUAUCCGUGUCAUAAACUACGAAGCAAUUAUUUUGGAGAAACUUCCAAAGUAUACUAUCCGGCAGCUGUUUUUGCCAGAGGAGUUCCGUGUUCUCAUUAGGAGCAUUAAGCGGCCUACUGAAAACACAAGAAUGAAAUACCUGUCACUGUUCAGCCACUCACAUUUCGUUAUUCCAGAAAUAUUCAAGUAUCUAAACAAGGUGGUCGUGUUGGAUGACGAUGUAGUUGUUCAACGUGAUCUGUCUUUCUUGUGGAAUAUUGAUAUGGGAGACAAGGUAAAUGGCGCUGUCGAACUUUGUGGUCUGAAACUGGGUGAGAUGAAAAAUGUCUUGGGUAAAACAGCAUAUGAUCCAAAGUCGUGUGCGUGGAUGUCGGGGGUGAAUUUGAUUAAUCUGGAUAAAUGGAGGGAGCAUAAUGUCACAGAGAACUAUCUGCGGCUCAUGAAAAAGUUCGAAGUCAAGGAUGAGCUGUCCCUGCGAGCAGCAGCAUUUCCUCUAAGCUUGCUAUCCUUCCAACAUCUAAUAUACCCCCUAGAUGAAAAAUUGACGCUGGCUGGACUUGGAUAUGAUUACGGAAUCGAUGAAGAGGUUGCGCGGAGAUCUGCAUCAUUGCACUACAAUGGCAACAUGAAACCUUGGCUUGAAUUAGGUAUACCGGAGUACAAGAAGUACUGGAAGAGGUUUCUUGUCCGAGGAGAUCGAUUUAUGGACGAGUGCAACGUAAAUCCGUGACGUAGAGUUGGACCCGAAACGAGAACGAUUGCGUGAAUCUGUGACGCAGAGUUGGAUCUGAAAUCAGAACAACUGGAAUAGACAUCAGCUAGCCUCACUGAAGUUUGUGUCGGCAAAUUGUGAACGAGAAUGAAUUCUGGUGGUGGAGCUAGGAUUUUUUUGAGUGGAGAUUCCAAACAUGAAAGUAGUAAACACUAAUAUAUAUACGGUAGUAUAAAUUUGAGUAAAUGAUGGGGACUACGUGAUCCAUCCACCACCCUCUGGAGUCUCGCCCUUUCUAACAAAUAUUUCAAAUCAGUCGACUUCGGCCUGUUUGUUUACCCUCUACCAUCAAAAUUAUAUAAUCUAGUUUAAAUAAAUUAAGACGUAAACAAAUAACACAUAUCGUUAGGUGGAUUAUAUAAUCUAGAUAUUUAGAUUAUGAUAAUAUAUAAGUAGGUCAAACCCUUAUAUAUGGGUGUUUGUUUAGGAUUAUAAUCUGAUCAGAUUAUAUAAUCUAACAAAUUUUAAACUAACACCUAUGAUUGUUUGUUUAAGAUUAUAAUCUGUCCAGAUUAUAUAAUUUAACUUAUUUUGAACUAACAUUUAGGCUAUAAUCUAGCUUAUGGAUUAUAUGAACACAUAUUGGUCUGCUUAUGGAUUAUCAUAAUCUAGGUAUCUAGAUUACAUAAUCCAUUUUAUUGUUUGUUUGCCUCUCAACUUAUCUAAGCUAGAUUAUAUAAUCUAGACAAAUAAGAUCUUAGUUAAAAAUAAGUUAGAUUAUAUAAUCUAAACAGAUUAUAAUCUUAAAUAAAUUAAACACCCUCAUUAGUUUAAAAUUUGUUGGAUUAUAUAAUUUAGAUAAAUUAUAAUCUCAAACAAACGCCUCCAUACUCUUGGUAGGAAGGCAUUCCUCUUACGGAAUCUGCAUAAUUCGUUUCAACGCUAGCAUAUAUUCUUUCUGGCUCGAAAUGGUAAAUACGUUAGCUAUAAAUUUAGAGAAAAGAAGAGUAGCUAAGUGGGUGUUUGGUUUAUAGAGACUAAACAUUAGUCCCUCCACUUUAUUCCAUUUUAGUUCAUAAAUUGUUAAAUAAGGAAACUAAAAUAGAGUUUUAGUUUCUAUAUUUAGUAAAUUAGGGACUAAAAUGGAAUAAAAUUGAGAGACUAAAAAUUAGUCCCUAGAAACCAAACACCCCCUAAAGCGUUAGCUAGUUAAAAUAGAGGGUAGUCAACAACAGAAAAAAUUAUAUAUUCGCAUCCAUGCUUUUAUAUCGGAUACAAGAAUAGAACAUGAUAGAUGUGAUGCGAAGAUCUAGACAGAUGGGGAGGAGCUAAUACUACGUGACGGCUAAGAUUGACGCAUAGCACAACGGCCGGCCGACGCGCCCUUUGAUAUAUAUGGCUGUUUGUUUUUGGAAGCGAGUACGACCGACGAGGUGGUGAUGCAGGUACAUUGAUUAUUCAUGCAUUGUCAUCUUGUCAUGUCCUAUUCAUUCACUUUUUGGUUAUAGAAAUUCCAAAAAAAAAAGUCAUCAAGCACACUGAACGACUGCAUAAUAUUUACUAAACUGUAAUUCUGCAUACAAGUACUAUUUUUGGCAAUAGAAAACCCAAAUAAUGUCAACAAGAACACACUGCAAGAAUGGUUAUAUUAUUCACAAACGGAAGGAAAAUAUCCAUUUGGCUUUUGAGCUUUCAGAAUAGGCAAAACUUAACUGAAUAGGCACAAGCACAACACGCGCAAAAACAAACUCACUCCUUUGCAAACUAGUAAGAUGCACUACUGGAAAAGCAUACGUAAGAUACACCAAACCAUCGAGAAGAAACUAAGCUUGCAUGGCAAUGGUGGUUGGCGCUAUGACUUGGAGCUGAGCUGAUGCCAUCAAGAGGCCUAUGGUCUAUGGAGCCAAACGAUUGCUGACAGAGCGUGUUGUGCAGCCAAACUAUUUGCGCGUACGACGUCCUAGCCCUAGCUAGUUGACUGGACAGACGGUAUGCUCUGGACUUGGAGAGGACUCAUUGCUCUCAUCAUAUCAUGCAUGCCCCAAUAUAAUGGUCACAUGGUGGUUGUUAGGAACCUUCAUCGAUCACAUGCCAAAACAAUUAAUAAGAGAUUAGGUUUCAGGAAGCUCUCCAAUAUGAGAUUCCUCCUCCUCGCCAACCCAGUCGAAGAAUCAACAGUUUGUUCUCUUCUCUAGCGCUAGCUCAUGGAUGGAUGAUCAGUUGCCGAGUAGUGGUGGUGGUGCAUGAUUGAGACGCGCCGGCCGUCUGCCUAUAUAUUCCUUUCUUUCCUUCGUCUCCCGCGUCUCAGUCUACCUCCAGCGCUCCAUCACCAUAUGACAACAAAGGAUUCCACCUUGAUCCUUGAAGUGGACCUCCAGUGCGAGAAAUGUUACAAGAAGAUCCAGAAAGUUCUCUGCAAGCUCCAGUCCAAGGAGAAGAUCAACAAGAUCGACUACGAGAACACCAAGAACAAGGUCACCGUCGUCGGCGCCUUCGACCCCAAGAAGCUUUCCAAGACGCUGAGAUGCAAGGCCUGUGAUGUCAUCAGGGACAUCACCAUCGUCAAGCCUCCCGAGGUGAAGAAACCGGCCGCGGAGGAGAAGAAGAAGCCGGAGGAAGAGGAGAAGAAGAAGAAGCCGGAGGAAGAGGAGAAGAAGAAGCCCGCAGAGGAGAAGAACAAGGGCGGCGAGGAGAAGGCCGCCAAGCCAGCGGCGGCGGCGCCACCGUCGACGACGGUGAACCUGCAGUUCACCAACAUAUGCGGGAUCUGCUACCCGUGGCCGUGCAGCGACCCGGCGCACCGGGGCGGUUUCCACCACCCGCAGCAGCUGCCGCAGCCGUGGCUGCCGUGCGGAGGGAUGGCUCCAGCUCCAGCUCCCGCGCCUGCACCGCCGGUUCACACCCACCCGCAACCGCCCUGCGGCGGUGCCCCUCAGAAAUGGGCGCCGUGCGGCGGCCCUCCGCUGUGCGGAGGCUGCGCGUGGUGCCUCGGCGGCGGCAUCGGCUGCUGGUCGCCGCCGCCGCAGCAGCCGAUGUGCUGCCCCGGGCCGUCGCUGUGCAGAGGGUGCAACGGGUGCAAGAUCGUGCGCGAGACCAAGUUCAGCUACGAGGAGUACCCUUCCAGUGCAUGUGCCAUCAUGUGAUCUUUGCUCCUACUUGUGUUCUUCGAUUGCUCAGUCCUGAAUUCUGGUCAAACGAGUAGCGGUCUCAAAGAAACAUUGUUUUUCCUGCAAAGAAAAAAAAAGCUCCUUUUCUGCUGUGGCAAUUUUGAUUCUUUUCAAAUCUCCGUGACUCCAGAUAUGUUUAAUUAUGUAUUAUUGUCCACCAACAAUACAUGUAUCUGUUCACGA